rnacentral:miRNA from 1 species
UAUCACUAUUCAGUCUUUCGCC